CUCUGAGCGCUUGUGUUGUUUACCAAGAAAAUGCAGCCCUGUUGGUUUUUAUUUCUGUAUCGCAUCGCGACUAUUAAUUACAAGCACAGCAUCAUCAACGGUGAUUGCAAAAACUACUGCAAUCCCUGCGGGUUUUCCUCUUGGUAAAUGCGUUCAGGUCGUGAUCAAGGGUGGUCUCAGAAAUCGGUCGGGAAUAAGGCUAUUGUUGUAGAACAAAACGCCGCAACCACUGCUGUGGUAAAUAUGUUCCAGCAGAACUGCCCACCGCCGUCGGUGUAAUGAUUUCGAUAGCUGAACAAACGCCAUCUCCUGGGCAUUCCCACAGCUUGCCGACACUAGCUAUUAUAUCACGUGUGAAUGCAACUGCGGCUUAAUUUGGUUAUUAACAGUGCAGUCGUACCAUGUCAUUGGCAAAAACACUAAGGGCUGCUGCCACAUAUAGGUUGUAAAGUUUUUGGUAUCGAUGAACAUACUCGAAGAAGACGAUGGCCGAAAACAUAUGAUGAAACAUCUUCUGGCAUGCCUUUGACAAUCGUUAAGUCAGACGGAGGCUUCACAUACGAUAUUUCACAUAUGGCUGGAAUUCGUUAGCGGACAGAGCACACAUUUACAAAAUAUUUAU